rnacentral:rRNA from 1 species
AUGGAAAAGAAGGUAUUCAUGCCAUUUGAAAAGGAAGACAGAUACACACUAUUAGUGCUCGACAGAUAUAGAAGGAAGCUUCAAAUCAUUGAGCCUGAAGAAACCUCUCUCGAAGAAUUGAAGAGGAAAGAAUGCCUCAAAAAUCAACGUGAUCUCCACGUGCAUGAUGGCAAAUUAAGUAAGCAAAUUGCUCAAAUGGAAAUCAACGAAGCCAGCAAAGAAAAGGAGCAUAACAAAUACCACAACCAUAAAGACAGACUAGUGCCGAGGUUCAAGGCAGUAUACGAAAUAUUACUCGGUGAAAAUUUUGAAAAGGAAAAGACUAAAUGGGAAGUUCAAUUUUUAAAGGACGUUCCAAAGGUGAACAAAGGUGAAACCCCGUUUGCUGUUCUGAGAUUCGCGCAUCUCUUUGAUGGCAACCACUUCGUCGAAGAAAUAGACAAUUUUGAUGAUGGCAUGGAACAAUGGAAAGCACAACAACUGUUCAGGCUACUAUUUAGCAAUCAGAAUACAAUCGAACCCAGCAAAAUGGGCGAUGAGAUAACAAAGAUCUACGACGACAUCAAGGAAAAGGACUAA